GGGCGAUGACCAAUCAUAUCGAAUGGUUUCCAUGACGAAUUAGACCCAAGGCUUGGAGACUUUCUUCAAGCAAAGAUGGCUGACAAAAAAUACGAAAGGAUGGAAGCAAAUGGACUCCUGAAACAACCAGCAAACCAGGCUGCCAUCUGGUGAAACAGUGGAUAUAUAAAGAAUCUAGCUAACUAAAGAAUUUACUGCAAAUUGAAUGUACAAUUUUGUAAGAUUGCCUUGCUGAUAUUUGCCAUGCAGAUAGAUGAAAAAAUGUAGCUAGCUAUGUUCUUGCUUAUUGUGCAGUGGAUGAUUAUAAUACCUGUAUGCCUACGGAUGUGUAGCUAGCUAUCUAGCCGAUCUGUGAAUGGAACCAAACGUUUGGUAUACAUAUUAGUUCAGAACCUAGCUAUGAACCUCAGCUAUCAUAGCCAGUUGUAUCAACUUCAAAACAGCCCGAAUGACAUUAAUGAAGCCUAUCGAUUGAGUAGAAUAUAAUAUAACUUUAUGCCAAGGAUGCAAGUCGAAUAUACAUGUAGUUAUUACCAUGCAUGAGAUCCCCACAUUGUAGCCUGUACACUUAAUGUAUUCACUGAUCAUGUACUCUACCUUGGCAAAUAAAGUGCUGUUCAGGUAUGAAAACUCC